UAUGGCCAACUACCCUGAAUGUGCCUGAGCUCAUCUGAUCUCAGAAGCUAAAGAGGGUUGGGUCUGGCUAGUGUUUAGAUAGGAGACUGCCAUGUAGGCUUGCUGGGUAUGGCUGUGC
rnacentral:rRNA from 1 species